CUUCAAAAUGAGAAGAUCCUGCCAUGGAAAAGAUGACUGGGUGGACAUGAAGUGGAAAGGAGGGGAAAUAACUCACACCAUGCAGCAGGACACCUUCAGCUGUGGGGUCUUUGUAAUGCAGGUUUGAUAGUUAUAUUUUCAAUAAUGAAUGGUUAGCUGUUAUGUGACAAUUAGGUCCAUUUUUUUUAGAGUAGAUUGCCAAGGAAGUUGCACAGAACUUUCCCAACAUCCCCUCCCAAAUUGACAUAGAACCUUCACAAAACCACAUGGAGCAACUGCGAAAAGAAAUGGCUGAAGGAUAUACUAAAAAUGGCUGAGUUCAACAAAGCCAACAACUGCUUCAUGUGUACCACUGAUAAAGAACCUGGAUGUGGGCCAAAGACUGACUGGAUUGAAAGUUUUGCAUACCAACGGGGAGGGGGUUCCCAUGUGCUGUGCCUAGGAAUGAAGACAAGAGUUCAGAGUGAAGAACACAAACUGGAAGUGCUGUCUUUGUUGUUGAAAGUGUAUGCUAUACCCCAUCCACACUGAAGAGGCUCUGAAAUGUACAUCAACCAGGGAUAAAGAGAAAGAUAACACUGAAAUGUUUUGUACUUAUUUAAAGGUAAGUGUCUGUUGACAUGUUGGAAAAGAUUACAGGUCUACAAUUUCUGUUUAAUUUGUCAAAUUUAAAUUUUUAUUCAUUGAUUUUCUGGCCACCACUACUGUGGUUACAUGUUCAGUAUAUGUAUUGACCAGCUAACCCACUGCAGCCUACCUCACUAGCUCACUGGCCAACCUUGCUUUGGACAAUUAAUAGCAUGACUCUCGAACUUUGCCCUUUUCCUUUAUGAUUGAUAUUAACGAUGAAAGGAGAUAUUAUCUGUCUCUCUCCUAUUGUGUACUGCUGUUAAAUACAGUGGCAAAAAAAAAAGGUAAAGUAAGUACUUAGAACAACCAAUUAUUAUAGAUAAAUAUUCAUGAAAAGGGUUAACACAACACUGGACUGAACCCCCUAAUUUUCAAACUAAUAUUAAUAUACAACAAUAUAGAAGAUACAUGACGAGAAGUUAUGCAAUAUGGGUGUAUAUCCACUGCAUGCUUCUUAGGUGUGUAACUGACAUGACCAAGGAGCUAUUGAUAUUUUCAAGUUUGAAAAAUGUAUGUAAAAUUGAGUGAGAUGAAAAUGGACAA